GCNCAGGAUGAACGCUAGCUACAGGCUUACACAUGCAAGUCGAGGGGCAGCAUGGUCUUAGCUUGCUAAGGCCGAUGGCGACCGGCGCACGGGUGAGUAACACGUAUCCAACCUGCCGUCUACUCUUGGACAGCCUUCUGAAAGGAAGAUUAAUACAAGAUGGCAUCAUGAGUCCGCAUGUUCACAUGAUUAAAGGUAUUCCGGUAGACGAUGGGGAUGCGUUCCAUUAGAUAGUAGGCGGGGUAACGGCCCACCUAGUCUUCGAUGGAUAGGGGUUCUGAGAGGAAGGUCCCCCACAUUGGAACUGAGACACGGUCCAAACUCCUACGGGAGGCAGCAGUGAGGAAUAUUGGUCAAUGGGCGAGAGCCUGAACCAGCCAAGUAGCGUGAAGGAUGACUGCCCUAUGGGUUGUAAACUUCUUUUAUAAAGGAAUAAAGUCGGGUAUGGAUACCCGUUUGCAUGUACUUUAUGAAUAAGGAUCGGCUAACUCCGUGCCAGCAGCCGCGGUAAUACGGAGGAUCCGAGCGUUAUCCGGAUUUAUUGGGUUUAAAGGGAGCGUAGAUGGAUGUUUAAGUCAGUUGUGAAAGUUUGCGGCUCAACCGUAAAAUUGCAGUUGAUACUGGAUAUCUUGAGUGCAGUUGAGGCAGGCGGAAUUCGUGGUGUAGCGGUGAAAUGCUUAGAUAUCACGAAGAACUCCGAUUGCGAAGGCAGCCUGCUAAGCUGCCACUGACUUGAGGCUCGAAAGUGUGGGUAUCAACAGGAU
rnacentral:rRNA from 1 species